rnacentral:rRNA from 1 species
ACCUACGGGGGGCAGCAGUGAGGAAUAUUGGUCAAUGGUCGGGAGACUGAACCAGCCAAGCCGCGUGAGGGAGGAAGGUACAGAGUAUCGUAAACCUCUUUUGUCAGGGAACAAAGGCGGGGACGUGUCCCCGGAUGAGUGUACCUGAAGAAAAAGCAUCGGCUAACUCCGUGCCAGCAGCCGCGGUAAUACGGAGGAUGCGAGCGUUAUCCGGAUUUAUUGGGUUUAAAGGGUGCGUAGGCGGACUGUCAAGUCAGCGGUAAAAUACGGGGGCUCAACCUCCGCCCGCCGU